CAAGAAGAUUUUAGGAUUGACAGAUUGAGAGUUCUUUCUUGAUUGGUCUAGUGGUGGUGCAUGGCCGUUCUUAGUUGGUGGAGUGAUUUGUCUGGUUAAUUCCGUUAACGAACGAGACCUUAACCUGCUAACUAGUAUUAGUAUCCCAAAUACUAACUACUUCUUAGAGGGACUAUGUGAUGUAAUCACAUGGAAGUUUGAGGCAAUAACAGGUCUGUGAUGCCCUUAGAUGUCCUGAGCUGCACGCGUACUACAAUGGCACUUUCAACGAGCAUUUCCUGAUCCGAAAGGAUUUGGGUAAUCUUUUUAGUGAGUGCCGUGAUUGGGAUAGAUCUUUGUAAUUAUGGAUCUUGAACUAGGAAUUCCUAGUAAGCGCGAGUCAUCAGCUCGUGCUGAUUACGUCCCUGCAAAAUGUACACACCGCCCGUCGCUUUUACCGAUUGAGUGCUCAGGUGAACCUUCUCGAUAGUGCAAACUAGAAAUUAAGUAAACCUUAACACUUAGAGGAA
rnacentral:rRNA from 1 species